UCACCAGGCUACAGUGCAGUGUUGUGAUCUCAGAUUACUGCAGCGUCCUCCUACUGCAUUCAAGCAAUUCUCCUGCCUCAGCCUCCCGAGUAGCUCGGACUGAAGUUUCUUGCCACCACCACGCCGGGUUUUUUGUAGUUUUUAGUACAGACGGCGUUUCACCAUGUUGGCCAGGAUGGCCUCUACCUCUUGCCCUCAUGAUCUGCCUGCCUCAGCGUCCCCACAUGCUGGAUUACAUGCGUGAACCACCGCACCCAGCCUGCCAUCUGGUUUUCUAACCUCACCAAGUGAAUACGAGACCUGUGCCAACGGUACUUAGCAUGAUGUAAUCCUCAUGGUGUUUCUUUUUUUCUUAUUGCAGGAGAAGCCUGCGUCCCACAAUCACCGCCGUCCCAUUGAGGUCCCGGAGGACCUCAUACUAGAAGACAUUGAGGAUGAUGAGCUACCCCGUGACGAGGAGAAGCCUGCGUCCCACAAUCACCGCCGUACGUAUUCUUUUUCUUUUAAAUAGUUACCCAGACGUAGUGCAUAUGCAACCAAAUUCACU
rnacentral:lncRNA from 13 species